AUAUAUAUAUAUAUUACGUUGAACACCGGCUCUCGUGCGAUCACGGACGUUGAGCAACGUCACAACUAGUUAGUACUUAGAUGGGCGACCGCUUGGGAAACCUAGGCGCCGAAAAUA
rnacentral:rRNA from 1 species